UUAAAUAAGAAAGGGCGUAUGGAGGAUGCCUAGGCAUUAGAAGAUGAAGAAGGACGUGACAAACGACGAAAUGCUUCGGGGAGAUGUAAGUAAUCUUUGAUCCGGAGAUAUCCGAAUGGGGGAACCCACUAGUGGUAAUGCGCUAGUAUCAUAUAAUGAAUAUAUAGUUAUAUAGAGAACAACUCAGUGAACUGAAACAUCUUAGUAACUGAAGGAAAAGAAAGAAAAAUCGAUUUUCUUAGUAGUGGCGAGCGAAAAGGAAAGAGCCCAAACCAGUCUAAGGACUGGGGUUGAAGGACCUCAAUAAACUUGAAGAUCAUAUAGUUGAAUUACUUGGGAAGGUAAACUAGAGAAGGUGAAAGUCCUGUAAGCGAAAUGUGAUUAAAAGUUAGAGGAAUCCUGAGUACGGCGAGGCACGUGGAACCUUGUCGGAAUCAGCGGGGACCAUCCCGCAAGGCUAAAUACUCUCUAAUGACCGAUAGUGAACAAGUACCGUGAGGGAAAGGUGAAAAGAACCCCGGGAGGGGAGUGAAAUAGAAACUGAAACCAUAUGCUUACAAAAAGUUCGAGCCCGUUAAAGGGUGAGAGCGUGCCUUUUGCAGAAUGAACCGGCGAGUUAUUGUAUAAUGCGAGGUUAAGUAGGAGAUACGGAGCCGAAGGGAAACCGAGUUUUAAUAGAGCGAUAUAGUAUUAUGCAAUAGACCCGAAACCGAGUGAUCUAGUCUUGAGCAGGUUGAAGUAAUAGUAAAAUAUUAUGGAGGACCGAACCGAUAUGCCCGGAAACGCGUACGGAUGACUUGAGAUUAGCGGAGAAAUUCCAAUCGAACUCGGAUAUAGCUGGUUCUCCCCGAAAUAGGUUUAGGCCUAGCCUUGAUUUUAUAUAUGUGGAGGUAGAGCACUGAAUGUGCGAUGGCGCCAUCUAGGUGUACUGAGUACAAACAAACUCCGAAUGCCACAUAAGAUUAAUCAGGAGUCAGUGCAUGGGUGAUAACGUCCAUGCGCGAAAGGAAAAGAAUCCAGAUCGCCAGUUAAGGUCCCAAAAUUGUGUUAAGUGGAAAAGGAUGUGGAGUUGUAAAAACAGCUAGGAGGUUGGCUUAGAAGCAGCCAUCCUUUAAAGAGUGCGUAAUAGCUCACUAGUCGAGUGAAACUGCGCCGAAGAUGUACCGGGGCUAAACACAAUACCGAAACUGCGGACUUAUACGUAAGUAUGAGUGAUAGGGGAGCGUUGUAAUUGCGAAGAAGGUAUACCGUGAGGAGUGCUGGAGCGAUUAGAAGUGAGAAUGCCGGUGUGAGUAACGAAAAAUGGGUGGAAAUCCCAUUCACCGAUUGACUAAGGGUUCCUGGGUAAAGUUCGUCUUCCCAGGGUAAGUCAGGACCUAAGAUGAGGCCUAAAGGCGUAGUCGAUGGACAAUAGGUAUAUAAUCCUAUACCACCUAUAUAACUGAAGGAGUGACGAAGGAGGCUAGCUAAAGCCAAUUAAUGGAUUUUGGUCUAAGCACAAAGGCUUGUACGGAGUAAAAUGCACGAUACAAAAGAGCUGAAGUGUGAUGGGGAAGUGAUACUUUCGGGUAGAGCGAAGUUAAGUGACGCCAAACUUCCAAGAAAAGCUUCUAGGGCUAAUUAUAUAGGUGCCUGUACCGAUAACCGACACAGGUGGUCAAGGAGAGAAUCCUAAGGUGAGCGAGAGAACUAUGGUUAAGGAACUCGGCAAAAUGACCCCGUAACUUCGGGAGAAGGGGUGGUCAAGAAGAUAAUGCAGUAAUGUAUGAAAAUAAAUUGACCCGCAGUGAAUAGGUCCAGGCAACUGUUUACCAAAAACACAGGUUUCUGCAAACACGAAAGUGGAAGUAUAGGAGCUGACGCCUGCCCAGUGCUGGAAGGUUAAAGGGAAGUGUCCGUAGCAAUACAAAGCACCGAACUGAAGCCCCAGUGAACGGCGGCCGUAACUAUAACGGUCCUAAGGUAGCGAAAUUCCUUGUCAGGUAAGUUCUGACCCGCACGAAAGGCGUAAUGAUCUGGAUACUGUCUCAACCAUAGACUCGGUGAAAUCUUAAUACCUGUGAAAAUGCAGGUUACCCGCGACAGGACGGAAAGACCCCGUGGAGCUUUACUGUAGCUUGAUAUUGGAAUUAGAUUGGUUAUGUAGAGGAUAGGUGGUAGACUAUGAAGUAUAGACGCAAGUCUGUAUGGAGUCGCCCUUGGAAUACCACCCUUGAUUAGUCCAAUUUCUAACCUAGUACCAUAAUCUGGUACAGGGACAGUGUCUGGUAGGCAGUUUGACUGGGGCGGUCGCCUCCUAAAGAGUAACGGAGGCGUUCAAAGAUUCCCUCAGAAUGGUUGGAAAUCAUUCGAAGAGCGUAAAGGUAUAAAGGGAGUUUGACUGUGAGACCAACAAGUCGAGCAGGUGCGAAAGCAGGACUUAGUGAUCAGGCGAUUCAGAAUGGAAUGGUCGUCGCUUAACGGAUAAAAGUUACCCCGGGGAUAACAGGCUGAUACCACCCAAUAGUUCACAUAGACGGUGGUGUUUGGCACCUCGAUGUCGGCUCGUCACAUCCUGGAGGUGGAGUCGCUUCCAAGGGUUGGGCUGUUCGCCCAUUAAAGUGGCACGCGAGCUGGGUUCAGAACGUCGUGAGACAGUUCGGUCCCUAUCCGUCGUGGGCGUAGGAAAAUUGAAGAGAGCUAUCCUUAGUACGAGAGGACCGGGAUGGACACACCAAUGGUGUAUCUGUUGUCACGCCAGUGGCAGCGCAGAGUAGCUAUGUGUGGAAGUGAUAAACGCUGAAAGCAUCUAAGCGUGAAGCACCCUCUAAGAUGAGUUUUCCCAUUGUAUAAACAAGUAAAAUCCCAGAAAGACUAACUGGUAGAUAGGCUAGAAGUGGAAGUGUAGCGAUACAUUGAGCGGACUAGUACUAAUAGAUUGAGGUUUUAAUCCC
rnacentral:rRNA from 1 species